UACGUAGGGUGCGAGCGUUAAUCGGAAUUACUGGGCGUAAAGCGUGCGCAGGCGGUCUUUUAAGUCAGAUGUGAAAUCCCCGGGCUUAACCUGGGAACUGCGUUUGAAACUGGAAGGCUAGAGUGUGGCAGAGGGGGGUGGAAUUCCACGUGUAGCAGUGAAAUGCGUAGAGAUGUGGAGGAAUACCGAUGGCGAAGGCAGCCCCCUGGGAUAACACUGACGCUCAUGCACGAAAGCGUGGGGAGCAAACAGG
rnacentral:rRNA from 1 species